rnacentral:rRNA from 1 species
CCUACGGGGGGCAGCAGUCGAGAAUCAUUCACAAUGGGGGAAACCCUGAUGGUGCGACGCCGCGUGGGGGAAUGAAGGUCUUCGGAUUGUAAACCCCUGUCAUGUGGGAGCAAAUUAAAAAGAUAGUACCACAAGAGGAAGAGACGGCUAACUCUGUGCCAGCAGCAGCGGUAAUACAGAGGUCUCAAGCGUUGUUCGGCAUCACUGGGCGUAAAGCGUGCGGAGGCUGUUUCGUAAGGCGUGUGUGAAAGGCGCGGGCUCAACCCGCGGACGGCACAUGAUACUGCGAGACUAGAGUAAUGGAGGGGGAACCGGAAUGCUCGGUGUAGCAGUGAAAUGCGUAGAUAUCGAGAGGAACACUCGUGGCGAAGGCGGGUUGCUGGACAUUAACUGACGCUGAGGCACGAAGGCCAGGGGAGCGAAAGGGAUUAGAUACCCCGGUAGUC